GAUGAACGCUGGCGGCGUGCCUAAUACAUGCAAGUCGAGCGAACAGACGAGGAGCUUGUUCCUUUGACGUUAGCGGCGGACGGGUGAGUAACACGUGGAUAACCUACUUAUAAGACUGGGAUAACUUCGGGAAACCGGAGCUAAUACCGGAUAAUAUAUUGAACCGCAUGGUUCAAUAGUGAAAGACGGCUUUGCUGUCACUUAUAGAUGGAUCCGCGCCGCAUUAGCUAGUUGGUAAGGUAACGGCUUACCAAGGCUACGAUGCGUAUCCGACCUGAGGGGGUGGUCGGCCACACGGGAGCUGGACCACGGUCAAGGCUCCUACGAGAGGCAGCAGUAGGGAAUGGUCCGCAAUAGGCGAGAGCCUGACGGAGCGACGCCGCGUGAGUGAUGAAGGUCUUCGGAGCGUAAAACUCUGUUAUUAGGGAAAAACAAAUGUGUAAGUAGCUAUGCACGUAUUGACGGUACCUGGUAAGAAAGCCACGGCUAACUACGUG
rnacentral:rRNA from 1 species